UUGGCCACGAAUUACGUGUUAUGUUGUU
rnacentral:piRNA from 1 species